GACACGGCCCAGACUCCUACGGGAGGCAGCAGUGGGGAAUAUUGCACAAUGGGCGAAAGCCUGAUGCAGCGACGCCGCGUGAGGGAUGAAGGCCUUCGGGUUGUAAACCUCUUUCAGCAGGGACGAAGCGAAAGUGACGGUACCUGCAGAAGAAGCACCGGCUAACUACGUGCCAGCAGCCGCGGUAAUACGUAGGGUGCAAGCAUUGUCCGGAUUUAUUGGGCGUAAAGAGCUCGUAGGCGGUUUGUCGCGUCGGAUGUGAAACCUCGGGGCUCAACCCCGAGCCUGCAUUCGAUACGGACAGACUAGAGUGUUGCAGGGGAGACUGGAAUUCCUGGUGUAGCGGUGAAAUGCGCAGAUAUCAGGAGGAACACCGGUGGCGAAGGCGGGUCUCUGGGCAACAACUGACGCUGAGGAGCGAAAGCGUGGGGAGCAAACAGGAUUAGAUACCCUGGUAGUCCACGCCGUAAACGUUGGGCGCUAGGUGUGGGGAACCUUCCACGUUCUCCGUGCCGUAGCUAACGCAUUAAGCGCCCCGCCUGGGGAGUACGGCCGCAAGGCUAAAACUCAAAGGAGUUGACAGGGGCCCGCACAAGCGGCGGAGCAUGCGGCUUAAUUCGAUGCAACGCGAAGAGCCUUACCUAGGCUUGACAUAUACCGAAAACUCAUGGAGACAUGGGGUCCGCAAGGGCGGUAAACAGGUGGUGCAUGGUUGUCGUCAGCUCGUGUCGUGAGAUGUUGGGUUAAGUCCCGCAACGAGCGCAACCCUCGUCCAAUGUUGCCAGCGCGUAAUGGCGGGGACUCAUUGGAGACUGCCGGGGUCAACUCGGAGGAAGGUGGGGAUGACGUCAAAUCAUCAUGCCCCUUAUGUCUAGGGCUGCACGCAUGCUACAAUGGUCGAUACAAAGGGCUGCGAUACCGCAAGGUGGAGCGAAUCCCAAAAAGCCGGCCUCAGUUCGGAUUGGGGUCUGCAACUCGACCCCAUGAAGUCGGAGUCGCUAGUAAUCGCAUAUCAGCAACGCUGCGGUGAAUACGUUCCCGGGCCUUGUACACACCGCCCGUCACGUCACGAAAGUCGGUAACACCCGAAGCCGGUGGCCCAACCCUUGUGGAGGGAGCUGUCGAAGGUGGGAUCGGCGAUUGGGACGAAGUCGUAACAAGGUAGCCGUACCGGAAGGUGCGGCUG
rnacentral:rRNA from 1 species